UCUUACCCCUCUCGAGCCCAGAGUACCACAGCUUAAACCCAUCAGCGUCCCGCGCCCUAGUCCCUUUCCACCUAGUCUCCUGGAGGCACGCUAUGUUAACCCUUCUCUGUUGGAGAACCUUUGCUAACUCGAUGGACUUACCCGUCAGAGUGCCUAUGUUCCAAGACCCAAUCCUUAAUCUAUGGGCGACCGCCGCCCUCUUCCCACCCUUA
rnacentral:lncRNA from 1 species